rnacentral:tRNA from 1 species
CGCGGGGUGGAGCAGUUCGGUAGCUCGUCGGGCUCAUAACCCGGAGGUCGCAGGUUCAAAUCCUGCCCCCGCAACCA